rnacentral:rRNA from 1 species
GUUGUAUGGUUAAGUGACUAAGCGUACACGGUGGAUGCCUUGGCAGUCAGAGGCGAUGAAAGACGUAGUAACUUGCGAUAAGCCCAGAUUAGGUAGUAACAACCAUUUGAGUCUGGGAUUUCUGAAUGGGGAAACCCACGUGCAUAAGCACGUAUCCUUACCUGAAUACAUAGGGUAAGGAGGCGAACCGGGGGAACUGAAACAUCUAAGUACCCCGAGGAAAAGAAAUCAACCGAGAUUCCGAAAGUAGCGGCGAGCGAAAUUGGACUAGCCCUUAAGCUUUACACGCGUUAGACGAACGGUCUGGAAAGUCCGACGAUACAGGGUGAUAGUCCCGUAGUUGACGACGUGUGUUCAGUGAAAUCGAGUAGGGCGGGACACGUGAUAUCCUGUCUGAAUAUGGGGGGACCAUCCUCCAAGGCUAAAUACUACUGACUGACCGAUAGUGAACCAGUACCGUGAGGGAAAGGCGAAAAGAACCCCUGUGAGGGGAGUGAAAUAGAACCUGAAACCGUGUACGUACAAGCAGUAGGAGCAGGCUUCGUCCUGUGACUGCGUACCUUUUGUAUAAUGGGUCAGCGACUUAUAUUCAGUGGCAAGGUUAACCAUCUAGGGGAGCCGUAGGGAAACCGAGUCUUAACUGGGCGUUCAGUCUCUGGAUAUAGACCCGAAACCAGGUGAUCUAGCCAUGGGCAGGUUGAAGGUUGAGUAACAUCAACUGGAGGACCGAACCGACUAAUGUUGAAAAAUUAGCGGAUGACUUGUGGCUAGGGGUGAAAGGCCAAUCAAACCUGGAGAUAGCUGGUUCUCCCCGAAAGCUAUUUAGGUAGCGCCUCGGACGAAUACUACUGGGGGUAGAGCACUGUUAAGGCUAGGGGGUCAUCCCGACUUACCAACCCUUUGCAAACUCCGAAUACCAGUAAGUACUAUCCGGGAGACACACGGCGGGUGCUAACGUCCGUCGUGGAGAGGGAAACAACCCAGACCGCCAGCUAAGGUCCCAAAUUACUACUAAGUGGGAAACGAUGUGGGAAGGCUCAGACAGCCAGGAUGUUGGCUUAGAAGCAGCCAUCAUUUAAAGAAAGCGUAAUAGCUCACUGGUCGAGUCGGCCUGCGCGGAAGAUGUAACGGGGCUAAGUAGUAAACCGAAGCUGCGGCAAUACUCUUUGAGUAUUGGGUAGGGGAGCGUUCUGUAAGCGGUUGAAGGUGUGUGGUAACGCAUGCUGGACGUAUCAGAAGUGCGAAUGCUGACAUGAGUAACGAUAAAGGGGGUGAAAAACCUCCUCGCCGGAAGACCAAGGGUUCCUGUCCAACGUUAAUCGGGGCAGGGUAAGUCGACCCCUAAGGCGAGGCCGAAAGGCGUAGUCGAUGGGAAACGGGUUAAUAUUCCCGUACUUCUUACAAUUGCGAUGGGGGGACGGAGAAGGCUAGGUGGGCCUGGCGACGGUUGUCCAGGUUCAAGUGCGUAGGCUUGAGAGUUAGGUAAAUCCGGCUCUCUUUAAGGCUGAGACACGACGUCGAGCACCUACGGGUGUGAAGUCAUUGAUGCCAUGCUUCCAGGAAAAGCCUCUAAGCUUCAGAUUGUAAGGAAUCGUACCCCAAACCGACACAGGUGGUCGGGUAGAGAAUACCAAGGCGCUUGAGAGAACUCGGGUGAAGGAACUAGGCAAAAUGGUACCGUAACUUCGGGAGAAGGUACGCUCUUGAUGGUGAAGUCCCUCGCGGAUGGAGCUGACGAGAGUCGCAGAUACCAGGUGGCUGCAACUGUUUAUUAAAAACACAGCACUGUGCAAAAUCGUAAGAUGACGUAUACGGUGUGACGCCUGCCCGGUGCCGGAAGGUUAAUUGAUGGGGUUAGACUUCGGUCGAAGCUCUUGAUCGAAGCCCCGGUAAACGGCGGCCGUAACUAUAACGGUCCUAAGGUAGCGAAAUUCCUUGUCGGGUAAGUUCCGACCUGCACGAAUGGCGUAAUGAUGGCCACGCUGUCUCCACCCGAGACUCAGUGAAAUUGAAAUCGCUGUGAAGAUGCAGUGUACCCGCGGCUAGACGGAAAGACCCCGUGAACCUUUACUACAGCUUGGCACUGAACAUUGACCCUACAUGUGUAGGAUAGGUGGGAGGCUUUGAAGCACGUACGCCAGUAUGUGUGGAGCCGUCCUUGAAAUACCACCCUUGUAGUGUUGAUGUUCUAACGUUGACCCCUUAUCGGGGUUGCGGACAGUGCCUGGUGGGUAGUUUGACUGGGGCGGUCUCCUCCCAAAGAGUAACGGAGGAGCACGAAGGUGGGCUAAUCACGGUUGGACAUCGUGAGGUUAGUGCAAUGGCAUAAGCCCGCUUGACUGCGAGAAUGACAAUUCGAGCAGGUGCGAAAGCAGGUCAUAGUGAUCCGGUGGUUCUGAAUGGAAGGGCCAUCGCUCAACGGAUAAAAGGUACUCCGGGGAUAACAGGCUGAUACCGCCCAAGAGUUCAUAUCGACGGCGGUGUUUGGCACCUCGAUGUCGGCUCAUCACAUCCUGGGGCUGAAGUCGGUCCCAAGGGUAUGGCUGUUCGCCAUUUAAAGUGGUACGCGAGCUGGGUUUAGAACGUCGUGAGACAGUUCGGUCCCUAUCUGCCGUGGGCGUUGGAAGAUUGAAGGGGGCUGCUCCUAGUACGAGAGGACCGGAGUGGACGAACCUCUGGUGUUCGGGUUGUGUCGCCAGACGCAUUGCCCGGUAGCUAAGUUCGGAAUCGAUAACCGCUGAAAGCAUCUAAGCGGGAAGCGAGCCCUGAGAUGAGUCUUCCCUGAUACUUUAAGUAUCCUAAAGGGUUGUCGGAGACUACGACGUUGAUAGGUCAGGUGUGUAAGUGCUGUGAGGCAUUGAGCUAAC